GUGCCUACGGGGGGCAGCAGUGGGGAAUCUUCCGCAAUGGGCGAAAGCCUGACGGAGCAACGCCGCGUGAUCGAAUGAAGGCCUUCGGGUUGUAAAGAUCUGUUGACAGGGACGAAUAAGCAAUGCGAAUAGUUUUGUGUAUGACGGUACCUGUUUAGAAAGCUCCGGCUAAAUACGUGCCAGCAGCCGCGGUAAUACGUAUGGAGCAAGCGUUAUCCGGAUUUACUGGGUGUAAAGGGAGCGCAGACGGCAAGGCAAGUCUGAUGUGAAAGUCCGAGGCUCAACCUCGGGACUGCAUUGGAAAC
rnacentral:rRNA from 1 species